GACGAACGCUGGCGGCGUGCCUAAUACAUGCAAGUUGAGCGAUGAAGAUUGGUGCUUGCACCAAUUUGAAGAGCAGCGAACGGGUGAGUAACGCGUGGGGAAUCUGCCUUUGAGCGGGGGACAACAUUUGGAAACGAAUGCUAAUACCGCAUAACAACUUUAAACAUAAGUUUUAAGUUUGAAAGAUGCAAUUGCAUCACUCAAAGAUGAUCCCGCGUUGUAUUAGCUAGUUGGUGAGGUAAAGGCUCACCAAGGCGAGGAUACAUAGCCGACCUGAGAGGGUGAUCGGCCACAUUGGGACGGAGACACGGCCCAAACGCCUACGGGAGGCAGCAGUAGGGAAUCUUCGGCAAUGGACGAAAGUCUGACCGAGCAACGCCGCGGGAGUGAAGAAGGUUGUCGGAUCGUAAAACUCUGUUGGUAGAGAAGAACGUUGGUGAGAGUGGAAAGCUCAUCAAGUGACGGUAACUACCCAGAAAGGGACGGCUAACUACGUG
rnacentral:rRNA from 1 species